rnacentral:rRNA from 1 species
GCGCUAUGCAUGCAGUCGAACGGGCAAAGGGGCUUCGGCCCCGGAGCUAGUGGCAGACGGCUGAGUAACACGUAAGUGAUCUGCCCCGGAGCGGGGGAUAAUCCGGAGAAAUUCGGUCUAAUACCCCGUACGUUCAUAUGGUCAAGGCUAUAUGAAGAAAGGUUUCGACCGCUCUGGGAGGAGCUUGCGGCCUAUCAGGUAGUUGGCGGGGUAAUGGCCCACCAAGCCGAAGACGGGUAACCGAUGUGAGAGCAUGAUCGGUCAGAGGGGGACUGAGACACGGCCCCCACUCCUACGGGAGGCAGCAGCAGGGAAUCUUGCGCAAUGGGCGAAAGCCUGACGCAGCGACACCGCGUGGGGGAAGAAGGCCUUAGGGUUGUAAACCCCUUUUCUGUGGGAAGAGAUAGGACGGUACCACAGGAAUAAGCAUCGGCUAACUACGUGCCAGCAGCCGCGGUAAUACGUAGGAUGCAAGCGUUGUCCGGAUUUACUGGGCGUAAAGGGUGUGUAGGCGGCAUGUUAAGUCUCAUGUGAAAUCUCCCGGCUCAACUGGGAGCGGUCAUGGGAAACUGGCAAGCUUGAGGGCAGCAGAGGAAAGCGGAAUUCCGGGAGUAGUGGUGGAAUGCGUAGAUACCCGGAGGAACACCAGAGGCGAAGGCGGCUUUCUGGGCUGUGCCUGACGCUGAGACACGAAAGCGUGGGGAGCAAACCGGAUUAGAUACCCGGGUAGUCCACGCCCUAAACGAUGGAUACUAGAUAUGGGGGGUAUCGACCCCUCCCGUGUCGGAGUUAACGCGAUAAGUAUCCCGCCUGGGGAGUACGGCCGCAAGGCUAAAACUCAAAGGAAUUGACGGGUCCCCGCACAAGCGGCGGAGCGUGUGGUUUAAUUCGAUGAUAAGCGAAGAACCUUACCUGGGCUUGACAUGCACUUGACAGCCCGUGAAAGCGGGUCUUCUUUCAAGACAGUGCA